AGCCCCGGAGCCUUUUAGGGCUCUUCUUCAAAUUUGCAUUUUGACGUAAGGUACCGCAGGACU
rnacentral:tRNA from 1 species